rnacentral:rRNA from 1 species
GGCUAAGGCUUAACCAUAGUUAGCAUUUGAAACUGUAUUACUUGAGUGCAGGAGAGGUAAGUGGAAUUCCUAGUGUAGCGGUGAAAUGCGUAGAUAUUAGGAGGAACACCAGUGGCGAAGGCGACUUACUGGACUGUAACUGACGNUGAGUCACGAAAGCGUGGGUAGCAAACAGGAUUAGAUACCCUGGUAGUCCACGCCGUAAACGAUGAGUGCUAGGUGUUGGGUAGCGAUACUCAGUGCCGAAGUAAACACAAUAAGCACUCCGCCUGGGGAGUCCGGUCGCAAGACUGAAACUCAAAGGAAUUGACGGGGACCCGCACAAGCAGCGGAGCAUGUGGUUUAAUUCGAAGCAACGCGAAGAACCUUACCAAGGCUUGACAUCCCCUUGACCAGUGCAGAGAUGUACUCUCUCCUUCGGGAGCAAGGGUGACAGGUGGUGCAUGGUUGUCGUCAGCUCGUGUCGUGAGAUGUUGGGUUAAGUCCCGCAACGAGCGCAACCCUUAUCCUUAGUUGCCAGCGAGUAGUGUUGGGCACUCUAAGGAGACUGCCGAUGAUAAAUCGGAGGAAGGUGGGGAUGACGUCAAAUCAUCAUGCCCCUUAUGUCUUGGGCUACACACGUGCUACAAUGGUCGGUACAAAGGGAAGCGAAGUAGAGAUAUGGAGCAAAUCCCAAUAAACCGAUCCCAGUUCGGAUUGUAGGCUGCAACUCGCCUACAUGAAGUCGGAGUUGCUAGUAAUCGCGAAUCAGAACGUCGCGGUGAAUGCGUUCCCGGGUCUUGUACACACCGCCCGUCACACCAUGGAAGUUGGUAAUACCCGAAGUCGCUGAGCUAACCGAAAGGAGGCAGGCGCCGAAGGUAGGAUCAAUGACUGGGGUGAAGUCGUAACAAGGUAACC